AAAUUGAAGAGUUUGAUCAUGGCUCAGAUUGAACGCUGGCGGCAGGCCUAACACAUGCAAGUCGAACGGUAACAGGAAGCAGCUUGCUGCUUCGCUGACGAGUGGCGGACGGGUGAGUAAUGUCUGGGAAACUGCCUGAUGGAGGGGGAUAACUACUGGAAACGGUGGCUAAUACCGCAUGACGUCGCAAGACCAAAGAGGGGGACCUUCGGGCCUCUUGCCAUCAGAUGUGCCCAGAUGGGAUUAGCU
rnacentral:rRNA from 1 species